rnacentral:rRNA from 1 species
UGCUCCCUGAUGUUAGCGGCGGACGGGUGAGUAACACGUGGGUAACCUGCCUGUAAGACUGGGAUAACUCCGGGAAACCGGGGCUAAUACCGGAUGGUUGUUUGAACCGCAUGGUUCAGACAUAAAAGGUGGCUUCGGCUACCACUUACAGAUGGACCCGCGGCGCAUUAGCUAGUUGGUGAGGUAACGGCUCACCAAGGCGACGAUGCGUAGCCGACCUGAGAGGGUGAUCGGCCACACUGGGACUGAGACACGGCCCAGACUCCUACGGGAGGCAGCAGUAGGGAAUCUUCCGCAAUGGACGAAAGUCUGACGGAGCAACGCCGCGUGAGUGAUGAAGGUUUUCGGAUCGUAAAGCUCUGUUGUUAGGGAAGAACAAGUGCCGUUCAAAUAGGGCGGCACCUUGACGGUACCUAACCAGAAAGCCACGGCUAACUACGUGCCAGCAGCCGCGGUAAUACGUAGGUGGCAAGCGUUGUCCGGAAUUAUUGGGCGUAAAGGGCUCGCAGGCGGUUUCUUAAGUCUGAUGUGAAAGCCCCCGGCUCAACCGGGGAGGGUCAUUGGAAACUGGGGAACUUGAGUGCAGAAGAGGAGAGUGGAAUUCCACGUGUAGCGGUGAAAUGCGUAGAGAUGUGGAGGAACACCAGUGGCGAAGGCGACUCUCUGGUCUGUAACUGACGCUGAGGAGCGAAAGCGUGGGGGAGCGAACAGGAUUAGAUACCCUGGUAGUCCACGCCGUAAACGAUGAGUGCUAAGUG